rnacentral:rRNA from 1 species
UACGGAGGGUGCAAGCGUUACUCGGAAUCACUGGGCGUAAAGCGCGCGCAGGCGGCCUUUUAAGUUGGAUGUGAAAGCCUACGGCUUAACCGUAGAACUGCAUCCAAAACUACUAGGCUAGAGUGUGGGAGAGGAAGAUGGAAUUAGUUGUGUAGGGGUAAAAUCCGUAGAGAUAACUAGGAAUACCAAAAGCGAAGGCAAUCUUCUGGAACACUACUGACGCUGAGGCGCGAAAGCGUGGGGAGCAAACAGGGUUAGAUACCCUGGUAGUCCACGCCCUAAACGAUGAAUGUUAGUCGUCGGGUAGCUAGUCUAUUCGGUGAUGCAGCUAACGCAUUAAACAUUCCGCCUGGGGAGUACGGUCGCAAGAUUAAAACUCAAAGGAAUAGACGGGGACCCGCACAAGUGGUGGAGCAUGUGGUUUAAUUCGAAGAUACGCGAAGAACCUUACCUAGCCUUGACAUAUAUUAGAACACUUUAGAGAUAGAGUGGUGCCUUCGGGAGCUUUUAUACAGGUGCUGCACGGCUGUCGUCAGCUCGUGUCGUGAGAUGUUGGGUUAAGUCCCGCAACGAGCGCAACCCUCGUCACUAGUUACUAACGGUUCGGCCGAGGACUCUAGUGAGACUGCCUUCGCAAGGAGGAGGAAGGUGAGGACGACGUCAAGUCAUCAUGGCCCUUACGGCUAGGGCAACACACGUGCUACAAUGGCCAGGACAAUGAGACGCAAUACCGCGAGGUGGAGCAAAUCUAUAAACCUGGUCUCAGUUCGGAUUGUAGUCUGCAACUCGACUACAUGAAGCUGGAAUCACUAGUAAUCGUAGAUCAGCUAUGCUACGGUGAAUACGUUCCCGGGUCU